rnacentral:lncRNA from 1 species
GUGCAAUCAAUUUAGUCUUAUUUUUAAUUAUAUUAUCUUGUUCAUCUAAUUUAUUUUGAAAAACUCAUUUUAUACCUAUUACAGGAUGGGUUUUGGAUCUUUCAACUAAGUUUCAAAUAUUAUUCUUUUCAAAUUGGUUUAGUUCUUCUUAUAUAGGCAUAAUCCAAUUAAUAUCCUUUUUAGGUUCAAGAAUAGUUUUAGGUUUAAUAUGUGAAAUAAAU